rnacentral:lncRNA from 1 species
GGGACUAAGUCGGCAUCUGACGUCAUACAAUUACUAUGUCUGACAUGGAGGUUCUUGAAACAAUUAAUAUGAAGUGGGUUGUUACCCGGUAUGAGCUGAUUAUUCCUACGGCGCCUUCUACUGACCAGAAAAAUGUUUUCCGAAGGUCGCUAGGAGUCGGCAAUGAUGCCAAAAGCAGAUCACCUAAAUGAUCCAUUUUUUCUUCAAGUACUGGUAUGCUAUUUCUUUUUUAAUGUCCAUGAUGAGCUGGCCUCUAGCGGUAGAAUUGACUUCUAAUGAG